UUUCACAAGGAACUCUAUAAAAAAUUAAUGAUACUUUCUUUCCUUUGAGAUGUCAAAGGAAUAUUUAUACCCCCGCUUUAAAAAAGGGGGGGGUAUACUGUUUUACCUCUGUCUGUCAGUCCGUCCGUCAGUCCGUCCGUCAGUCAGUCAGUCCGUCCCAUGAAACUUUCGUCACAUUUUUCUCAGGAACUACGCAUCCACCCUUUCUGUAAUUUGGUAUCAACAUUUAUAUAUGUCAGCCACACCGUGUGAUGCGUUUUCAGAUUCAUCACUUGACAACUUCCUGUUUACCGAACACUUGUCUGAUUUUACACAUGAUAGCCAAGUUGAAAAUUUUCGUCACAUUUCUCUCAGGAACUACAAUACAAGGAUUUCUGAAAUUUGGUUUCAGGAUUUAUAUUAGUCAGCUAUACCGUGUGAUGCGUUUUCAGAUUCAUCACUCGACAACUUCCUGUUUACCGAACACUUGUAUGAUUUUACACAUGAUAGCCAAGUUGAAAUUUUCGUCACAUUUUUCUCAGGAACUACAAUACAAGGAUUUCUGAAAUUUGGUUUCAGGAUUUAUAUAAGUCAGCUAUACCGUGUGAUGCGUUUUCAGAUUCAUCACUCGACUACUUCCUGUUUACCGAACACUUGUAUGAUUUUACACAUGAUAACCAAGUUAAAAAUUUUCGUCACAUUUUUCUCAGGAACUACAAUACAAGGAUUUUUGAAAUUUGGUUUCAGGAUUUUUAUAAGUCAGCUAUACCGUGUGAUGCGUUUUCAGAUUCAUCACUCGACAACUUCCUGUUUACCGAACACUUGCAUAUUUUUACACUAUUAAUAUUAUCCACUUGCGGCGGGGGUAUCAUCAGUGAGCAGUAGCUCGCAGUUUCACUUGUUUUGCCAGAAUUACU
rnacentral:lncRNA from 1 species